rnacentral:rRNA from 1 species
CGUCUAGGCGGGGAGUUAAGUUAGUUGUGAAAUCCAUGGGCUCAACUCAUGAACUGCAUCUAAAACUGAUUCUCUUGAGUUCGGGAGAGGAAAGCGGAAUUCCCGGUGUAACGGUGAAAUGUGUAGAUAUCGGGAGGAACACCAGUGGCGAAGGCGGCUUUCUGGCCUAGAACUGACGCUGAAGCGCGAAAGCGCGGGUAGCGAACG